UACGGAGGGUGCAAACGUUGCUCGGAAUUACUGGGCGUAAAGCGUGCGCAGGCGGUUCGUUAAGUCAGAUGUGAAAGCCCCGGGCUCAACCUGGGAACUGCAUUUGAAACUGGCGAGCUUGAGUACGAAAGAGGAUCGCGGAAUUCCCGGUGUAGAGGUGAAAUUCGUAGAUAUCGGGAGGAACACCGGUGGCGAAGGCGGCGAUCUGGGUCGAUACGUGACGCUGAGGUGCGAAAGCGUGGGGAGCAAACAGG
rnacentral:rRNA from 1 species